rnacentral:rRNA from 1 species
GACGUAGGUGGCGAUCGUUAUCCGGAAUUAUUGGGCGUAAAGAGCUCGUAGGCGGUUUGUCGCGUCUGCUGUGAAAACUCGGGGCUUAACUCCGGGCCUGCAGUGGGUACGGGCAGACUAGAGUGCGGUAGGGGAGACUGGAAUUCCUGGUGUAGCGGUGAAAUGCGCAGAUAUCAGGAGGAACACCGGUGGCGAAGGCGGGUCUCUGGGCCGUAACUGACGCUGAGGAGCGAAAGCGUGGGGAGCAAACAGG